AGAGUUUGAUCCUGGCUCAGGAUGAACGCUAGCUACAGGCUUAACACAUGCAAGUCGAGGGGCAGCAUGGUCUUAGCUUGCUAAGGCCGAUGGCGACCGGCGCACGGGUGAGUAACACGUAUCCAACCUGCCGUCUACUCUUGGACAGCCUUCUGAAAGGAAGAUUAAUACAAGAUGGCAUCAUGAGUCCGCAUGUUCACAUGAUUAAAGGUAUUCCGGUAGACGAUGGGGAUGCGUUCCAUUAGAUAGUAGGCGGGGUAACGGCCCACCUAGUCUUCGAUGGAUAGGGGUUCUGAGAGGAAGGUCCCCCACAUUGGAACUGAGACACGGUCCAAACUCCUACGGGAGGCAGCAGUGAGGAAUAUUGGUCAAUGGGCGAGAGCCUGAACCAGCCAAGUAGCGUGAAGGAUGACUGCCCUAUGGGUUGUAAACUUCUUUUAUAAAGGAAUAAAGUCGGGUAUGGAUACCCGUUUGCAUGUACUUUAUGAAUAAGGAUCGGCUAACUCCGUGCCAGCAGCCGCGGUAAUACGGAGGAUCCGAGCGUUAUCCGGAUUUAUUGGGUUUAAAGGGAGCGUAGAUGGAUGUUUAAGUCAGUUGUGAAAGUUUGCGGCUCAACCGUAAAAUUGCAGUUGAUACUGGAUAUCUUGAGUGCAGUUGAGGCAGGCGGAAUUCGUGGUGUAGCGGUGAAAUGCUUAGAUAUCACGAAGAACUCCAAUUGCGAAGGCAGCCUGCUAAGCUGCAACUGACAUUGAGGCUCGAAAGUGUGGGUAUCAAACAGGAUUAGAUACCCUGGUAGUCCACACGGUAAACGAUGAAUACUCGCUGUUUGCGAUAUACUGCAAGCGGCCAAGCGAAAGCGUUAAGUAUUCCACCUGGGGAGUACGCCGGCAACGGUGAAACUCAAAGGAAUUGACGGGGGCCCGCACAAGCGGAGGAACAUGUGGUUUAAUUCGAUGAUACGCGAGGAACCUUACCCGGGCUUAAAUUGCAGAUGAAUUACGGUGAAAGCCGUAAGCCGCAAGGCAUCUGUGAAGGUGCUGCAUGGUUGUCGUCAGCUCGUGCCGUGAGGUGUCGGCUUAAGUGCCAUAACGAGCGCAACCCUUGUUGUCAGUUACUAACAGGUUCUGCUGAGGACUCUGACAAGACUGCCAUCGUAAGAUGUGAGGAAGGUGGGGAUGACGUCAAAUCAGCACGGCCCUUACGUCCGGGGCUACACACGUGUUACAAUGGGGGGUACAGAGGGCCGCUACCACGCGAGUGGAUGCCAAUCCCAAAAACCUCUCUCAGUUCGGACUGGAGUCUGCAACCCGACUCCACGAAGCUGGAUUCGCUAGUAAUCGCGCAUCAGCCACGGCGCGGUGAAUACGUUCCCGGGCCUUGUACACACCGCCCGUCAAGCCAUGGGAGCCGGGGGUACCUGAAGUGCGUAACCGCGAGGAGCGCCCUAGGGUAAAACUGGUGACUGGGGCUAAGUCGUAACAAGGUAGCCG
rnacentral:rRNA from 1 species